GAUCCUGGCUCAGGAUGAACGCUAGCUACAGGCUUAACACAUGCAAGUCGAGGGGCAGCAUGAUUGAAGCUUGCUUCAAUCGAUGGCGACCGGCGCACGGGUGAGUAACACGUAUCCAACCUGCCGAUAACUCGGGGAUAGCCUUUCGAAAGAAAGAUUAAUACCGGAUAGCAUAGUUUCCCCGCAUGGGGUUACUAUUAAAGGAUUCCGGUUAUCGAUGGGGAUGCGUUCCAUUAGGCAG
rnacentral:rRNA from 1 species